CCUACGGGAGGCAGCAGUGGGGAAUCUUGCGCAAUGGGCGAAAGCCUGACGCAGCCAUGCCGCGUGAAUGAUGAAGGUCUUAGGAUUGUAAAAUUCUUUCACCGAGGACGAUAAUGACGGUACUCGGAGAAGAAGCCCCGGCUAACUUCGUGCCAGCAGCCGCGGUAAUACGAAGGGGGCUAGCGUUGCUCGGAAUUACUGGGCGUAAAGGGAGCGUAGGCGGAUAGUUUAGUCAGAGGUGAAAGCCCAGGGCUCAACCUUGGAAUUGCCUUUGAUACUGGCUAUCUUGAGUACGGAAGAGGUAUGUGGAACUCCGAGUGUAGAGGUGAAAUUCGUAGAUAUUCGGAAGAACACCAGUGGCGAAGGCGACAUACUGGUCCGUUACUGACGCUGAGGCUCGAAAGCGUGGGGAGCAAACAGGAUUAGAUACCCUGGUAGUCCACGCUGUAAACGAUGAGUGCUAGUUGUCGGCGAUGCAUGCAUGUUCGGUUGGUACGCGAGCGUAACCGACGAUUAAGUACGACCUCCGCCGUCGGGAGGUACGGUCGGCGAAGAAGUUAAACGUUAACAAAUAGUUAAGUUAGUAGCGUUGAGAGNGCGACGGACGACGACGAGGGAGGAGG
rnacentral:rRNA from 1 species